rnacentral:rRNA from 1 species
GAUGAACGCUGGCGGCGUGCCUAAUACAUGCAAGUCGAGCGAAUGGAUUAAGAGCUUGCUCUUAUGAAGUUAGCGGCGGACGGGUGAGUAACACGUGGGUAACCUGCCCAUAAGACUGGGAUAACUCCGGGAAACCGGGGCUAAUACCGGAUAACAUUUUGAACCGCAUGGUUCGAAAUUGAAAGGCGGCUUCGGCUGUCACUUAUGGAUGGACCCGCGUCGCAUUAGCUAGUUGGUGAGGUAACGGCUCACCAAGGCAACGAUGCGUAGCCGACCUGAGAGGGGGAUCGGCCACACUGGGACUGAGACACGGCCCAGACUCCUACGGGAGGCAGAAGUAGGGAAUCUUCCGCAAUGGACAAAAGUCUGACGGAGCAACGCCGCGUGAGUGAUGAAGGCUUUCGGGUCGUAAAACUCUGUUGUUAGGGAAGAACAAGUGCUAGUUGAAUAAGCUGGCACCUUGACGGUACCUAACCAGAAAGCCACGGCUAACUACGUGCCAGCAGCCGCCGUAA